AGCUCCAAUAGCGUAUAUUAAAGUUGUUGCAGUUAAAAAGCUCGUAGUUGGACUUCAGGGUGGUGUGGACUGUCUGGCGCAAGCCUGUACGGUGGCACGCUCACUCUUCCUGUUGUGCGUCGCGGAGGGCAUUCAGUUGUCGACGUGGCUAAGCGCGCAGCACGUUUACUUUGAAGAAAUUAGAGUGUUCAAAGCAGGCCUUACGCCUUGAAUACAUUAGCAUGGAAUAAUAGAAUAGGACUCUCGUCUUAUUUUGUUGGUUUCUAAGAUGCGGGAGUAAUGAUUAAUAGGGACAGUUGGGGGCAUUCAUAUUCAGAUGUCAGAGGUGAAAUUCUUGGAUUUUCUGAAGAUGAACUACUGCGAAAGCAUUUGCCAAGGAUGUUUUCA
rnacentral:rRNA from 1 species